GACACUUUGGCCGAGUGGUUUAAGGCGCAGGCCUGCUACUACCUUCAUUGUACUAGCUGUUUAGCCUGUGGGUUCGCCCGCCUGGGUUCGAGUCCCAGAGGUGUCG
rnacentral:tRNA from 1 species